GGCCGCCUGGCGAAAUGGUAUCGCGUCUGACUACGACUUGGUCUUAUAUCAGGAGAUUGCAGGUUCGAGCCCUGCGGUGGUCA
rnacentral:tRNA from 1 species